rnacentral:tRNA from 1 species
GGUCUCGUAGCUUAAGUGGUUAUAGCGUUGGCUGUACUAAAGCCUUGCCUUUGGUGGCGUGAGUUAUAAUCCCACCGAGGCUA